UGACACCGGGCGGGGUCGAGGAAACAAACAUUUCCACCUUGUGGCGUUGGGUGCAGCAGUGUUGUCACUGUUGUCGGCCGUCCAGUUUCACUGACGGUAGUUGCUGUUAUGCCUGAGCCGGUGUUGAGCAGUAAGAAGCCAGACUGAGGUCCUGUUGCCCAGUGUGAAGUGUGUCUGUAAAGUAGUACACCGUACUGAGGAGUCGUGGAGCAAGUAGCCUGCUCCAGUCCACUGUGUCUAUUCAGACUGAGCUUGAGCACCUUUUGAG